rnacentral:rRNA from 1 species
CCUACGGGUGACAGCAGUGGGGGAUAUUGCACAAUGGGGGAAACCCCGAUGCAGCGACGCCGCGUGUGGGAAGACGGUCCUCUGGAUUGUCAACCACUGUCCCCAGGGACGAAGAUGACGGUACCUGGGGAGGAAGCUCCGGCUAACUACGUGCCAGCAGCCGCGGUAAUACGUAGGGAGCGAGCGUUGUCCGGCAUUACUGGGUGAAAAGGGAGCGUAGGCGGGGAUGCAAGUUGGGUGUCAAAACUACCGGCUCAACUGGUAGUCGCACUCAAAACUGCAGCUCUUGAGUGAAGUAGGGGCAGGCGGAAUUCCUAGUGUAGCGGUGAAAUGCGUAGAUAUUAGGAGGAACACCAGUGGCGAAGGCGGCCUGCUGGGCUUUUACUGACGCUGAGGCUCGAAAGUGUGGGGAGCAAACAGGAUUAGAUACCCUUGUAGUC